CCUACGGGAGGCAGCAGUGGGGAAUAUUGGACAAUGGGGGCAACCCUGAUCCAGCAAUACCGCGUGUGUGAAGAAGGCCUUCGGGUUGUAAAGCACUUUAGGUUGGGAAGAAGGUGUAUUGUUUAAGAGAUGAUACAUUUGACUGUACCAACAGAAUAAGCACCGGCUAACUCUGUGCCAGCAGCCGCGGUAAUACAGAGGGUGCAAGCGUUAAUCGGAGUUACUGGGCGUAAAGGGCGCGUAGGCGGUUAUGUAAGUGAGAUGUGAAAGCCCUGGGCUUAACCUAGGAACUGCAUCUUAUACUGCAUAACUGGAGUACUGUAGAGGGUAGUGGAAUUUCCGGUGUAGCGGUGAAAUGCGUAGAGAUCGGAAGGAACACCAGUGGCGAAGGCGGCUACCUGGACAGAUACUGACGCUGAGGCGCGAGAGCGUGGGGAGCAAACAGGAUUAGAUACCCUGGUAGUCCACGCUGUAAACGAUGAGAACUAGAUGUUGGCCAGCUUGACUGGUUAGUAUCGAAGCUAACGCGANAAGUUCUCCGCCUGGGGAGUACGGCCGCAGGUUAAACGUCAAAGGAAUUGACGG
rnacentral:rRNA from 1 species